rnacentral:rRNA from 1 species
UGUGUAGGCGGUCUGCUAAGUCGGAUGUGAAAGCCCUGGGCUCAACCCAGGAAGUGCACUCGAAACUGGCAGGCUAGAGUACUGGAGAGGUUGGUGGAAUUCUCGGUGUAGAGGUGAAAUUCGUAGAUAUCGAGAGGAACACCGGUGGCGAAGGCGGCCAACUGGACAGAUACUGACGCUGAGACACGAAAGCGUGGGGAGCAAACAGGAUUAGAUACCCUGGUAGUCCACGCCGUAAACGAUGGGUGCUAGGUGUCGCGGGCUUUGACUCCUGCGGUGCCGUAGCUAACGCAUUAAGCACCCCGCCUGGGAAGUACGGCCGCAAGGCUAAA